AGUUCCAACGGUACAAGAUGAGCAUGCGUCCCAUUAGCUAGUUGGUGUGGUAACGGCAUACCAAGGCAACGAUGGGUAGGGGUCCUGAGAGGGAGAUCCCCCACACUGGUACUGAGACACGGACCAGACUCCUACGGGAGGCAGCAGUGAGGAAUAUUGGUCAAUGGGCGCAAGCCUGAACCAGCCAUGCCGCGUGCAGGAUGACGGUCCUAUGGAUUGUAAACUGCUUUUGUACAGGAAGAAACCCUCCCUUGUAAGGGAGCUUGACGGUACUGUAAGAAUAAGGAUCGGCUAACUCCGUGCCAGCAGCCGCGGUAAUACGGAGGAUCCAAGCGUUAUCCGGAAUCAUUGGGUUUAAAGGGUCCGUAGGCGGUUUUAUAAGUCAGUGGUGAAAUCUGGUCGCUCAACGAUCAAACGGCCAUUGAUACUGUAAGACUUGAAUUACUUGGAAGUAACUAGAAUAUGUAGUGUAGCGGUGAAAUGCUUAGAGAUUACAUGGAAUACCGAU
rnacentral:rRNA from 1 species